rnacentral:lncRNA from 1 species
AUCACGGCUUAAGAAUGGCUUCUUCAAAAGGAAAAUCUUCAGUGUGGCAGAUCACAUUAUUGGAUUGAUCAUUGUCUCAUUCGCCUAUUUCUACCAUAGACUAUGUCCUCAUCAGUGACUGACAGUGCUCCCCUGCCUUUGAUAUUUUAGCAGAAGUUUCCUGCUUACCCUCUGACACUUCUAAUAACUCCAUAAGAAGAUACACUGACCACUCAUCAUCAGAAAAUGAGAGACAUUUGGAGAAUAGCCAUGCCAGUAGAGCCCAGACUGAACUGCCAAGCCUUCAGAUGACCAACAGCCAGAUGAGGUGGUCAUAUCCAAAUCAGGCUUUAGCUGACCAGCUACCAAACAAAAGCAGCUGCUACAAGCCAGCAAGCACACGUGCGAGGACUCUCACAUGGAGGGUGGCCGGCACCUCCUGCAUCACCCCCCACACUCUCAGGUAAGAGUAGCCACCACCCUCAUCAAAGAAACUUCUCUACAGCAAAUGGAGACCACCACAGAAGACCACAAGACAACUUCUAACCAAACUCCCAGCCUUCCUCCCAGGUUGCUACUAAAAUUCAGGGAGAGAGAGUGGGAACACAUGCUUUAUAGGGCUACACAGGAGAUGCCAAUGGGCUUCCAAGGUUGUCUGUUCCAUAAACUCUAUAAAUAUUGGAGAUCAAGUAUCAUGAAUGAAAUACAUAUAAAUCCACAUCUAAUUAGAUGCACCAGGAAGGACAGCCAGCCAUCUGGCCUGGAUUAUAUUCCUGUCAAUCCUAAUGGAAGGCUCUAAAAUGAAUUUCUCAGAAGAAAAAAAACUCUUCUGAAGUGAUGGCUUCCUGGUAUCAUAGCAAGGGUAAAGGUCUUCUGAAAGAAACAAAUGGACCUGGGAUGUAAGGAAUACAAAGAAAUCCAAUGGCUGAAUUCCCAUCAAAGAGAAAGGAAUGGCGGUAGGAAGACAGCUCAGUCAGUGAAGAGCUUGCCUUGUAAGUUCGAUUCCUAGAUACAACAAUAAGAGAAGUCA